GUGGCAGACGGCUGAGUAACGCGUGGGCGACCUGCCCCCGAGAACGGGAUAACUGCGGGAAACUGCAGCUAAUACCGUAUACACUCCCGUGCUUCAAUGCGCGGGAAGAAAUGAUUUAUCGCUCGGGGAUGGGCCCGCGUCCUAUCAGGUAGUUGGUGCGGUAACGGCGCACCAAGCCGAAAACGGGUAUCUGGUGUGAGAGCAUGACCAGACAGAGGGGGACUGAGACACGGCCCCCACUCCUCCGGGAGGCAGCAGCAAGGGAUCGUGCACAAUGGGCGAAAGCCUGAUGCCGCGACGCCGCGUGAGGGAUGACGGCUUUCGUGUUGUAAACCUCUUUUCUCAGGGAAGAGAGAGGACGUAACCUGAGGAAUAAGUCACGGCUAACUACGUGCCAGCAGCCGCGGUAAUACGUAGGUGGCAAGCGUUGUCCGGAAUUACUGGGCGUAAAGGGUCCGUAGGCGGUUCGGUCAGUCUUCUGUGAAAGCUCCAGGCUCAACUUGGAGUUGUCGGGAGAAACUGCCGAACUAGAGACUGUCAGAGGCAGGUGGAAUUCCCGGUGUAGUGGUGAAAUACGUAGAUAUCGGGAGGAACACCAGUGGCGAAAGCGGCCUGCUGGGGCAGUUCUGACGCUAAGGGACUAAAGCGUGGGGAGCGAACCGGAUUAGAUACCCGGGUAGUCCACGCCCUAAACGAUGAAUGCUAGGUCUUCGGGGUGUUAAUUCCCUGUGGGCCGAAGGUAACCCAUUAAGCAUUUCGCCUGGGGACUACGGCCGCAAGGCUAAAACUCAAAGGAAUUGACGGGUCCCCGCACAAGCAGCGGAGCGUGUGGU
rnacentral:rRNA from 1 species